GGUGGAAAGAAUUUCGGUCAAGGAUGGACUCGCGGCCUAUCAGCUUGUUGGUGAGGUAAUGGCUCACCAAGGCGACGACGGGUAGCCGGCCUGAGAGGGUGACCGGCCACACUGGGACUGAGACACGGCCCAGACUCCUACGGGAGGCAGCAGUGGGGAAUAUUGCACAAUGGGCGAAAGCCUGAUGCAGCAACGCCGCGUGAGGGACGAAGGCCUUCGGGUUGUAAACCUCUUUUAGUAGGGAAGAAGCGAAAGUGACGGUACCUGCAGAAAAAGCACCGGCUAACUACGUGCCAGCAGCCGCGGUAAUACGUAGGGUGCAAGCGUUAUCCGGAAUUAUUGGGCGUAAAGAGCUCGUAGGCGGUUUGUCACGUCUGCUGUGAAAUCUGGGGGCUCAACCCCCAGCCUGCAGUGGGUACGGGCAGACUAGAGUGCGGUAGGGGAGAUUGGAAUUCCUGGUGUAGCGGUGGAAUGCGCAGAUAUCAGGAGGAACACCAAUGGCGAAGGCAGAUCUCUGGGCCGUAACUGACGCUGAGGAGCGAAAGCAUGGGGAGCGAACAGGAUUAGAUACCCUGGUAGUCCAUGCCGUAAACGUUGGGAACUAGAUGUAGGGUCCAUUCCACGGAUUCUGUGUCGCAGCUAACGCAUUAAGUUCCCC
rnacentral:rRNA from 1 species